rnacentral:rRNA from 1 species
ACUGGAUAUCUAGAGUGCAGGAGAGGAAAGCGGAAUUCCUAGUGUAGCGGUGAAAUGCGUAGAUAUUAGGAAGAACACCAGUGGCGAAGGCGGCUUUCUGGACUGUACCUGACGCUGAGGCACGAAAGCGUGGGGAGCAAACAGGAUUAGAUACCCUGGUAGUCCACGCUGUAAACGAUGAGUGCUAGGUGUGGGGGGUUUCGACACCCUCCGUGCCGCAGUAAACGCAAUAAGCACUCCGCCUGGGGAGUACGGUCGCAAGACUAAAACUCAAAGGAAUUGACCGGGGGCCCGCACAAGCAGCGGAGCAUGUGGUUUAAUUCGAAGCAACGCGAAGAACCUUACCAGGAUUUGACAUCGCCUGAAUAGCUUAGAGAUCGGUGAAGCUUUUCGGAGCAGGCAGACAGGUGGUGCAUGGUUGUCGUCAGCUCGUGUCGUGAGAUGUUGGGUUAAGUCCCGCAACGAGCGCAACCCUUGUUGUUAGUUGCUAACAUUUAGUUGAGCACUCUAAUGAGACUGCCGGGGAUAACUCGGAGGAAGGUGGGGAUGACGUCAAAUCAUCAUGCCCCUUAUGUCCUGGGCAACACACGUGCUACAAUGGCUAAUACAAAGUGACGCAAAGCCGUAAGGUGGAGCAAAUCACCAAAAAUAGUCCCAGUUCGGAUUGAGGGCUGAAACUCGCCCUCAUGAAGCUGGAGU